GAUGAACGCUGGCGGCGUGCCUAACACAUGCAAGUCGAACGGAGUUUAGCGCUGAUGAAGCUUCGGCAGAUUCUUGUUAAACUUAGUGGCGGACGGGUGAGUAACGCGUGGGUAACCUGCCUCAUACAGGGGGAUAGCAGUUGGAAACGACUGAUAACACCGCAUAAGCGCACAGGAUCGCAUGAUCUAGUGUGAAAAUAUUUAUAGGUAUGAGAUGGACCCGCGUCUGAUUAGCUAGUUGGUGAGGUAACGGCCCACCAAGGCGACGAUCAGUAGCCGGCCUGAGAGGGCGGACGGCCACAUUGGGACUGAGACACGGCCCAAACUCCUACGGGAGGCAGCAGUGGGGGAUAUUGCACAAUGGGCGAAAGCCUGAUGCAGCGACGCCGCGUGAGUGAAGAAGUAUUUCGGUAUGUAAAGCUCUAUCAGCAGGGAAGAAAGACCUCGUAAGAGGGGAUGACGUAC
rnacentral:rRNA from 1 species